AUGACUGAACAAGGCAAGUCUGAACACCAAAUACAGAGAACCAUGGCCACUGCGGCACCUCUUGGGCAGGAUGUGGACCCAGCUGACCCAGAGGUACAGGCCUGUGUUGCCUUCGGCAUCAAGAGCUUCAACUUCCACAGCCAGACUCAUCAGCUCCACAACAUUACCAAGUUCCACUCUGUCCACAGAGAGGAGGUCGGUGCAGGUCAGUACGAUAUUGAUGUGGAGGUGAGAGGUUGCCAGUCCUCCUUCUGUUCUCCAGACAAUUCCAACACCCAGAUUUUCCGUUGUUAUUUUGUCAUUGUGACUGCUCCUUGGAAGAAGCAGCUGAUUCUGAUCAAAAGCAGCUGUACUCCAGUGUCUUAGGAUGGACAGGAACUACUGUCUAUGUGCAACUACACACAUAUGUGUAAAAACUCACUUAGCAUGUGUCAAUUGAAUCGUCAAACUAUGUAUGCAUUGUGUGAGGUUGUUGCUUAUAUCAGACAUGCACUAUUUGAACGAGAAAGCUAACAGACACUAACAAACACCUUUUUAAUCAGAAUUUAACCUAACACUAAUUAUUUUCAUGUUAGAAAGAAUGUAGUUAUUUGUAAGAAUAAAAUCAAUGUGAUUACUGGAGUACUGAUUAGAUUGUUGUGUGGUUUUCUUAUAGAUGGUCUAAUCUACUGUUUAAUAUGUUGAUCGACUCUGGUGCCAGUGAAAUUGAAUUAGGGGCUCGAUUCGAUGUGUGGUAAACGCUGCAUAUGUCUGUUCAAUUGGGAAUUACCUUUAAAAGGUGACUGCAUGUCCUGAUUUUGCCUCCUUUUAGAUUUGUGUCAUUAAUUAAAGGAUGCUAGCGGCCAUGACUGAACUCAAACGUAAAUUGGUUUUAGGGUGUGUGUGGGUUUGCAGGUGUUAAAGUUGGUUGAACUUUGUAAAGCCUAUCCCUGGGGCUAAUUAAGGACCAUCAAUAAAUUAUACAAUGUAAAUGAGACACUAUUUUCACGUUGCACACCUUUUUAGUUCUCAUUAAAUGCUUUCACCUAAUCAUUCAAGGGGUUUUCUUUAAUUCUACAUUGUAGAAUAAUCGUGAAGACAAACUAUUAAAUAAUACAUGGAAUCAUGUAGUAACCAAAAAAGUGUUAAACAAAUCAAAAUAUAUUUUAGAUUCUUCAAAGUAGCCACCCUUUGCCUUGAUGACAGCUUUGCACAAGCUUUGCAUUCUCUCAACCAAUGCAUUUCAAUUAACAGGUAUGCCUUGUUAAAAGUUCAUUUGUGGAAUUUCUUUCCUUCUUAAUGUGUUUGAGCCAAUCAGUUGUGUUGUGACAAGGUAGGGGUGGUAUAGAGAAGAUAGCCCUAUUUGGUAAAAGUCCAUAUUAUGGCAAGAACAGCUCAAAUACAGAGUAUUUCUUUCAACCAGCUUCAGGAGGAAUAGUUUUCCAACAGUCUUGAAGGAGUUCCCACAUAUGCUGAGCACUUGUUUUCCUUCACUCUGCGGUCAAACUCAUUUCACACCAUCUCAAUUGGGUUGACGUCGGGUGAUUGUGGAGGCCAGGUCAUUUGAUGUAGCGCUCCAUCACUCUCCUUGGUCAAAUAAACCUUACACAGCCUGGAGGUGUGUUUUGGGUCAUUGUUCUGUUGAAAAACAAAUGAUAGUCCUACUAAGUGCAAACCUGAUGGGAUGGUGUAUCGCUGCAGAAUGCUGUGGUAGCCAUGCUGGUUAAGUGUGCCUUGAAUUAUAAAUAAAUCACUGACAGUGUCACCAGCAAAGAACACCCAAACCAUCACACCCCCUACUCCACGGCUUCACGGUGGGAACCACACAUGCAGAGAUCAUCCGUUCACCUCUCAUAAAAACACGGCGGUUGGAACCAAAAAUCUCAAAUUUGGACUCAUCAGACCAAAGGACAGAUUUCCACCGGUUUAAUGUCCAUUGCUUGUGUUUCUUGACCCAAGCAAGUCUCUUCUUAUUAUUGGUGUCCUUUAGUAGUGGUUUCUUUGCAGCAAUUUGACCAUGAAGGCCUGGUUCAUGCAGUCUCCUCUGAACAGUUGAUGUUGAGAUGUGUCUUACUUGAACUCUGUAAAGAAUUGAUUUGGGCUGCAAUCUGAGGUGCAUUUAACUCUAGUGAAUUUAUCCUCUGCAGCUGCAGCAGAGGUAACUCUGGUUCUUCCUUUCCUGUGGUUGUCCUCAUGAGAGCCAGUUUCAUCAUGCAACUGCACUUGAAGACACUUUCAAAGUUCUUGAAAUUUUCCAGAUUGACUGACCUUCAUGUCUUAAAGUAAUGAUGGACUGUCGUUUCUCUUUGUGUAUUUGAGCUGUUCUUGCAAUAAUAUGGACUUGGUCUUUUACCAAAUAGGGCAAUCUUCUGUAUACCACCCCUGCCUUGUCACAACACAACUGAUUUGCUCAAACACAUUAAGAAGGAAAGAAAUUCCACAAAUUGACUUUUAACAAGGCACACCUGUUAAUUGAAAUGCAUUCCAGGUGACUACCUCAUGAGGCUGGUUGAGAGAAUACCAAGAGUGUGCAAAAGCUGUCAUCAAGGCAAAGGGUGGCUACUUUGAAGAAUCUCAAUUAUAAAAUAUAUUUUGAUUUGUUUAACAUGCUACUACAUGAUUCCAUGUGAGUUAUUUCAUCGUUUUUAUGUCUCCAUUAUUAUUCUACAUUGUAGAAAAUAGUAAAAUAAAGAAAAACCCUUGAAUGAGUAGGAGUGUCCAAACUUUUGACUGGUACUGCAUAUGUAUAUGAAUUUAUGUAAUACAAUUCAUAGUUGGUUUGAGUUGUUAAUGGAACUAUUGCAAUUUUAGCAUAUUGUCCCAUGUACAUUGUGUAAUUUACCGAUGGUCCCUAGCUCGCCUCAUCAGGAUAUCCAAAGUCAACCCAAAUUUACCACAUGCAUUUAGAUCGGUCUGGUGCAGCUGCACUUCGAAUUUAUGACUACUUGUGUGUUGCCAGCUGUGGG
rnacentral:lncRNA from 13 species